CACUGGGAGGUGAUCAGAGCCGUAGGCCUCCUCGAGGACCUCCUGCUCGAAGUUCCCCGGGAGGCGGUGGAUGAUGGCGACGUCCAGUACAUCCGGUGAGUGGGUGGGGCACUCGGGGUAGUGGGUAGGCCCAUAAGUACCCCCACUACGCUGUACCCUGCGCGCUCAGCGUCGUCGAAGAGGCGGUUGCCGUCUCGGUUGGUGGUACGCGAGCCCCAGCCCGGGUGCUUGCAGUUGAGGUCCCCCGCGAUCACAGUCGGCUCUUCCGAAAGGAGCCGGUGGAUCUCGGAGGGGUCCAACCGCAUAUGCGGGGGCUUGUAGCACGCGUACUGGUGCGUGGCAGUGGAGCCAAGCAUAAGCUCGACGCCGAGCGCGUGGAAAGAGGCAAUCUCCGGAUCCGGGAGACGCUGGUGAAGCAGGCUACGUCUGACGAGGACAGCAAGGCCUCGACAGGAAACAGAUCCAUGUGGUAGCGCG